rnacentral:misc_RNA from 1 species
GGGGACGAUAGCUUUUCUGGGG